rnacentral:rRNA from 1 species
UGCCAGCUCCUACGGGAGGCAGCAGUGAGGAAUAUUGGUCAAUGGGCGGGAGCCUGAACCAGCCAAGCCGCGUGAAGGAAGAAGGCGCCAGGCGUCGUAAACUUCUUUUGUCGGGGAACAAAGGGCGCCACGCGUGGCGUUGUGAGUGUACCCGAAGAAAAAGCAUCGGCUAACUCCGUGCCAGCAGCCGCGGUAAUACGGAGGAUGCGAGCGUUAUCCGGAUUUAUUGGGUUUAAAGGGUGCGUAGGCGGUCCGGAAAGUCAGGGGUAAGAGCCCGGGGCUAACCCCCGGCGAGCCGUUGAAACUGUCGGACUAGAGACGGCGAGAAGUACGCGGAAUGCGCGGUGUAGCGGUGAAAUGCAUAGAUAUCGCGCAGAACUCCGAUUGCGAAGGCAGCGUACCGGCGCCGGACUGACGCUGAGGCACGAAAGCGUGGGUAUCGAACAGGAUUAGAUACCCGAGUA